UGGAAGAGAUCGAGGUCAUGAAAUGAUCUGGCCAUGUUUCUGGAGAAGUAGACACGGUGUGAUAUUGGUCCGGCUCAUCUUCUGUGCAUAAGCAUCUGAAGUUCUUCACUCAUGAAGACGAGCCGAAUCAAUAUCACUCU
rnacentral:misc_RNA from 1 species